UACGUAGGUGGCGAGCGUUAUCCGGAAUGAUUGGGCGUAAAGGGUGCGUAGGCGGCCUGCUAAGUCUGGAGUGAAAGGUGCCGGCUCAACCGGUACAGGCUCUGGAAACUGGCGGGCUAGAGAGCAGGAGAGGGCGGUGGAACUCCAUGUGUAGCGGUAAAAUGCGUAGAUAUAUGGAAGAACACCAGUGGCGAAAGCGGCUCUCUGGUCUGUAACUGACGCUGAGGUUCGAAAGCGUGGGUAGCAAACAGG
rnacentral:rRNA from 1 species